UAGCCUUUAGAAUUAGUUGAAGAUCCCAACUUAGCUUGGUGCCUGCCAGAGGCAACAUUUCUUCCCUUACCCUUCUGAGCUGCAAAUUCAAACUCUUUCAAGAAAAAGACACGACAAUUCUCACAUUCAUUUCCCAAACACCUCCUACUCCUACCCAGACCACGGAUGGGGCAAGAAAAUGCAGGAACGGAGCCAGAAACAGGAGAUUUCCAAAGGAGGUUGAUAGCACUCAGAUCUUCUAUGCAAAGUGCUGUUGGAGCAGCCAGGUGCCAUGUCCAGCUGACAGUAUGAAAGGAAUAAGAGAAGUGAGGCAACUUCCCAGAGGUGGAGGGUGGCACGCAGGCAGCAGCCCCUGGAGCACUGCGUGGGACAGCAAUAUGGACCUAACAGAAGCCGUGUGUGUGGAAGCCCACUUCUGACUUACCACUUUUCAUGAAUUCUAUGCUUCACGGUGUUUCACCGUUUCAUGUUUCUGAUGAUGAGUAACAGUAAUUAUUUUCUUUCUUGCUGGUACAUAAUAAAGUGGUGCACAUCAGAGUUGCUGCCAUCUUGGACUUAAUUCAUCAGUAUCAGGUGAUCCUGAGGUUCAGUGAUGUCACUGUGGAAACUGUUCUGUAGGGACAAAGACGUUCCUCCUUCCCUACUCCUGCUCACAGUAGCCCUGAGCUGGUACAGCACCCAUCCUGCCCUGACCCUGCCAUGGGCAACAGGCUCCUCUGCUGGGUGGCCCUGUGUGUCCUGGGGGCAGAUCACGCAUGUGCUGGAGUCUCCCAGGACCCCAGACACAAGGUUACAAAGACGGGACAGAAUGUAACUUUCAGGUGUGAUCCAAUUUCUGGACACGACGGCCUUUAUUGGUACCGACAGACCCUGGGGCAGAGCCUAGAGUUUCUGACUUACUUCUGGAAUGAAGCUCAACUAGACAAAUCAGGGCUGCCCAGUGAUCGGUUCUUUGCAGAGAGGACUAAGGGAUCCUUCUUCACUCUGAAGAUCCAACGCACAAAGCAGGGGGACUCGGCCAUGUAUCUCUGUGCCAGCAGCUCAGCCACAGCAUGGCACAGUCACCUCCUUCCUGUUCACAAACCCUUAGGCACUUACUUUUCCUUCCAGUUCUCAGAAGCCCUGAACAAAGGAGCUGCCCUGCUCUUCCCUCAGCAAGGAAAAUGAGCCCAUUUUGGACUUUGGGUGUCUUCUAACACUAGGAGGUCAGGAAAUAACCUCUGAAAUACAGGAACAGGGAACAUUGGGUAGUAAUAAUUUUGGCUUAUGGGUUUCUGGGAUUCCUUAUAUAUAGUUCAAAUUUCCUUAAUUAGGAUAUAACAGAGCUUAGUCUCGGGGAUAGUGACUAAGUAAAUAUUCUCUUAAAAAACUAUGAAGCUUCAG